UGGUGGAGUGAUUUGUCUGGUUAAUUCCGUUAACGAACGAGACCUUAGCCUGCUAAAUAGUUACGCCAAGCUCUGCUUGUGCGGACAACUUCUUAGAGGGACUAUCGGUGUCUAACCGGAGGAAGUUUGAGGCAAUAACA
rnacentral:rRNA from 1 species